GAUGAACGCUAGCGGCAGGCCUAACACAUGCAAGUCGAGGGAGAAGCCCUUUCGGGGGCAGAAACCGGCGCACGGGUGCGUAACGCGUAUGCAACCUACCUUUCACAGGGGGAUAGCCCGAAGAAAUUUGGAUUAAUACCCCAUAAUAUUAUUGGAUGGCAUCAUUUGAUAAUUAAAACUGCGGUGGUGAAAGAUGGGCAUGCGUCCUAUUAGCUAGUUGGAGUGGUAACGGCACCCCAAGGCUACGAUAGGUAGGGGUCCUGAGAGGGAGAUCCCCCACACUGGUACUGAGACAGGGACCAGACUCCUACGGGAGGCAGCAGUGAGGAAUAUUGGUCAAUGGUCGGAAGACUGAACCAGCCAUGCCGCGUGCAGGAAGAAUGCCUUAUGGGUUGUAAACUGCUUUAUAUGGAAGAAUAAGGCGUACGUGUACGUGAGACGGUACC
rnacentral:rRNA from 1 species